AAUCGCUACGCAUGUACGCCCAUUUCACGUGCAAGUUUAACAACAUGCUGGGUGAACAGUGUGUACAUGUACUGUACGUUUCCAUGUUCAGAUUCACUAUCAUGUGGCUUUAAUCUUGUUCAUUCUUUAUAGUUUAGUUUAUAUCCCGUUGCUACGUUGUUGCCAAGUGCAAUAUGAAGCAUAUUGCACUGCUGAAAGUCAUAUGUGACAGGGCCUAGGAAAACACCCCUUAACGCGGGUGUACCCAAGUUUAUUUUUAUUGUUGAAUCGGAUAAAGCGUUCUCUAAGCUUCAAAAUGAUACCAAGAUCGACCUCCUAGCUAUUUUCUAUCCGGAGAUAUGUUCGAGGGAACGCUACGAAGUAUUGCAACGCCCUCUUGAGUAAAUGACGCUCAAACUUCAUGAAUAAUUGAAGUUCAAUUAUUGAUUUCCGGGCACUUCCGUAUACUCAUAAAGCUUAGUAAAAGAUUUUCUGGAGAGGACAAGUUAGUUAGAUGAAGGCUAGGCAUUCUAGGACUCUCUAGCUAGCUAGUAUAGCUAUGUAGCUGGAUUGCUUGGCAUCUAGGAAGGAUCUUUGAAGAAAUAAAAAGACAAAGACUCCCGUCGCUCCAAUGGUUGUUGCGAGUGUCGGAGGCCUGAGAAACAAUAGUCUAUUGGCUAGAAUGUUGUUAUGGAGGGUUUAUGAAGACAAGUGGCACGGGAUACAUACAUCUAAAGAAACAAGAGUGGAUCUGCGCCAAGCUAGCUAGCUAGAUAGCUGCUCUUUCUAAUGAAUUUCUGUUGCUAAAUUAUGUUUGUUAAGAAGUGGAGCUAUAAUAUACCUGGCUCCUCUUGAUGAUUGUAAGUACUGGGCUGAUGAAAUAGUCCUGUACAAGUUGUAAUUUUUUUUUUGUUAAAAAUAAUUAACAAUAAUAGGGAAAUUCCCAGGGAAUUUCCCCUCACGUAGACAGUAAAUUUCAUUGUAAAAAAUGAACGUUCGGUGAGUUUCUUCAAAGUCUGCGCUUGACCUGUUUAAAGCUUUGUAGAGAGCCAAAUUUUUACAGGUAGGUAGAGGAAGGGCUGAAGUUAGCACCUGUGAAAAAAAAAAUUUUUGCCCAUGUUUUUCAUUUCUACUAAAUUGACCUAUAGCCUAAUUUAAUUAGUGCCGCGUUAAGGGGGGUUUUCCUAGGCCCUGUCACAUCAUAGAUAAUAGAGACAGGGAUUGGAAACGUUCACGUGACCCAGUAUACAACCCACAUAGUGACAUCUUGCAGCUGUGUCAUAUGCGUGUCUCGCGGUUACAAGUGUUAAUUGUUUGUUUACUAUUCUACUCUUUUGACAAUUGGAUGGCUAUGAAUCUGCUUUAGACCACAAAACUGUGUAGCCACCCCCGCAAUCAUCUUAUGUGUGCUAUACCAGUGUUAAAUCUCUGUUUUCUGCAGGAAAACCUCUAUGAAGAAAGGUUAGUAGAGAGUCAAAGUGUUACAAUAUACUUGUGGAGUUUUUAGAACUUUAUUAAAGUUUUCUGUACAUUUUUAGAAACAAGAGUAGGUUCAUUUGACAGCACUGUGUUGCACUGUCUUGUUGAUUAGUCCAAAUACAUGUUUAAGGA